GUCCUACGGGAGGCAGCAGUGGGGAAUAUUGCACAAUGGGGGAAACCCUGAUGCAGCGACGCCGCGUGAGCGAAGAAGUAUUUCGGUAUGUAAAGCUCUAUCAGCAGGGAAGAAAAAUGACGGUACCUGAGUAAGAAGCACCGGCUAAAUACGUGCCAGCAGCCGCGGUAAUACGUAUGGUGCAAGCGUUAUCCGGAUUUACUGGGUGUAAAGGGAGCGUAGGCGGCGAUGCAAGUCAGAAGUGAAAGCCCGGGGCUCAACUCCGGGACUGCUUUUGAAACUGUAUGGCUAGAUUGCAGGAGAGG
rnacentral:rRNA from 1 species